GAUGAACGCUAGCGGCAGGCUUAAUACAUGCAAGUCGAACGGUAACAGGUCCAGCAAUGGAUGCUGACGAGUGGCGCACGGGUGCGUAACACGUAUGCAACCUACCUUUAACUAAGGAAUAGCCCCGAGAAAUCGGGAUUAAUACUUUAUACCAUUAUGAAAUGGCAUCAUUAUAUAAUGAAAGCUUCGGCGGUUUAAGAUGGGCAUGCGUGACAUUAGUUAGUUGGUAAGGUAACGGCUUACCAAGACAGCGAUGUCUAGGGGUUCUGAGAGGAUUUUCCCCCACACUGGUACUGAGACACGGACCAGACUCCUACGGGAGGCAGCAGUAAGGAAUAUUGGGCAAUGGACGAAAGUCUGACCCAGCCAUGCCGCGUGCAGGAUGAAGGCCCUCUGGGUCGUAAACUGCUUUUAUAUAGGAAGAAACCCUCGUACGUGUACGAGGCUGACGGUACUAUACGAAUAAGGAUCGGCUAACUCCGUGCCAGCAGCCGCGGUAAUACGGAGGAUCCAAGCGUUAUCCGGAUUUAUUGGGUUUAAAGGGUGCGUAGGCGGAUUAAUAAGUCAGUGGUGAAAGCCUACAGCUUAACUGUAGAAUUGCCUUUGAUACUGUUAAUCUUGAGUUUAAUUGAAGUGGGCGGAAUGUGUCAUGUAGCGGUGAAAUGCAUAGAUAUGACACAGAACACCGAUAGCGAAGGCAGCUCACUAAACUAAUACUGACGCUGAGGCACGAAAGCGUGGGGAGCGAACAGGAUUAGAUACCCUGGUAGUCCACGCCGUAAACGAUGAUUACUCGAUGUGUGCAAUAUACAGUACGCGUCCUAGCGAAAGCGUUAAGUAAUCCACCUGGGGAGUACGAUCGCAAGAUUGAAACUCAAAGGAAUUGACGGGGGCCCGCACAAGCGGUGGAGCAUGUGGUUUAAUUCGAUGAUACGCGAGGAACCUUACCUGGGCUUAAAUGCAUAAUGACAGAUUUGGAAAGCGAGAUUCUCUUCGGGACUGCAAACAAGGUGCUGCAUGGUUGUCGUCAGCUCGUGCCGUGAGGUGUCGGGUUAAGUCCCUUAACGAGCGCAACCCCUAUCUUUAGUUGCCAGCGGAUAAUGCCGGGGACUCUAAAGAAACUGCCUACGCAAGUAGUGAGGAAGGUGGGGAUGACGUCAAAUCAGCACGGCCCUUACGUCUAGGGCUACACACGUGCUACAAUGGCCAGUUCAAAGGGUCGCUACCUGGCAACAGGAUGCUAAUCUCUAAAUCUGGUCUCAGUUCGGAUCGAAGUCUGCAACUCGACUUCGUGAAGUUGGAUUCGCUAGUAAUCGUGUAUCAGCAAUGACACGGUGAAUACGUUCCCGGGCCUUGUACACACCGCCCGUCAAGCCAUGGAAGUUUGGGGUACCUGAAGUCGAUAACCGCAAGGAGUCGCCUAGGGUAAAAUCAAUGACUGGGGCU
rnacentral:rRNA from 1 species